AACGAACGCUGGCGGCAUGCCUAACACAUGCAAGUCGAACGAGACCUUCGGGUCUAGUGGCGCACGGGUGCGUAACGCGUGGGAACCUGCCCUUAGGUUCGGAAUAACUCCCCGAAAGGGGUGCUAAUACCGGAUAAUGUCUUCGGACCAAAGAUUUAUCGCCUUUGGAUGGGCCCGCGUUGGAUUAGCUAGUUGGUAGGGUAAAAGCCUACCAAGGCGACGAUCCAUAGCUGGUCUGAGAGGAUGAUCAGCCACACUGAGACUGAGACACGGCCCAGACUCCUACGGGAGGCAGCAGUGGGGAAUAUUGGACAAUGGGCGAAAGCCUGAUCCAGCAAUGCCGCGUGAGUGAUGAAGGCCUUAGGGUUGUAAAGCUCUUUUACCCGGGAUGAUAAUGGCAGUACCGGGAGAAUAAGCUCCGGCUAACUCCGUG
rnacentral:rRNA from 1 species